rnacentral:rRNA from 1 species
GACGAACGGUGCGAACGUUGUUCGGAAUCACUGGGCUUAAAGGGCGCGUAGGCGGGCUAUCAAGUCCGGGGUGAAAUCCUCCAGCUCAACUGGAGAACUGCCUCGGAUACUGAUGGUCUCGAGGAGGAUAGGGGCACACGGAACUGUGGGUGGAGCGGUGAAAUGCGUUGAUAUCCAUAGGAACUCCGGUGGCGAAAGCGGUGUGCUGGAUCCUUUCUGACGCUGAGGCGCGAAAGCCAGGGGAGCAAACGGG